AACGGCCGCGGUAUCCUAACCGUGUGAAGGUAGCGUAAUCAUUUGUCUUUUAAAUAAAGACCUGUAUGAACGGCAUAACGAGGGUUUGACUGUCUCACUCUCUUAGUCAAUGAAAUUGAUCUUUCCGUGCAGAAGCGGAAAUACAAACGCAAGACAAAAAGACCCCGUGAAGCUUUAAGGUGAAAGAUAACAAUUUUAUUUAAAAACUACUAAACCCUCCCCGCUCACCUUUCGGUUGGGGCAACCCUGGAGAAAAACAAAACCUCCAAGAAAUACGCUAAAACCCCAUUAGACUUGAAUCAACAAUCCUAGCUUGCAAAAUAUUUGCUCCAAUGAUCCAGGAAUACUGAUCAACGAAACAAGUUACUCCGGGGAUAACAGCGCAAUCCCCUUCUAUAGCCCCUAUUGACAAGGGGGUUUACGACCUCGAUGUUGGACCAGGACAUCCUAAU
rnacentral:rRNA from 1 species